rnacentral:rRNA from 1 species
UACACAGCCAUAUCACUGUGCAGCCCGAGAGCGGUCACUUACUGAAGCUGAGCAGGGCUGAGGCUGGUCAGUGUCUGGAUGGGAGACCACAUGGGAACACUAGGCUGCUGUUGUCA